rnacentral:rRNA from 1 species
AUUGAACGCUGGCGGCAUGCCUUACACAUGCAAGUCGAACGGCAGCAUGGAGAGCUUGCUCUCUGAUGGCGAGUGGCGAACGGGUGAGUAAUGCAUCGGAACGUACCGUGUAAUGGGGGAUAACGUAGCGAAAGUUACGCUAAUACCGCAUACGACCUGAGGGUGAAAGCAGGGGAUCGCAAGACCUUGCGUUAUACGAGCGGCCGAUGUCAGAUUAGCUAGUUGGUGAGGUAAAGGCUCACCAAGGCGACGAUCUGUAGCGGGUCUGAGAGGAUGAUCCGCCACACGGGGACUGGGACACGGCCCAGACUCCUACGGGAGGCAGCAGUGGGGAAUUUUGGACAAUGGGGGCAACCCUGAUCCAGCCAUGCCGCGUGAGUGAAGAAGGCCUUCGGGUUGUAAAGCUCUUUCGGCCGGGAAGAAAUCGCACAGGCUAAUACUCUGUGUGGAUGACGGUACCGGCAUAAGAAGCACCGGCUAACUACGUGCCAGCCGCCGCAGUAA